rnacentral:lncRNA from 13 species
CUUUGAAGAUAACGGGAGGGCGGGGUUCUGAACACUGACUAGAGGAAGUUUGGGAAUUCUCGUGUCCGCGUUGCUGCUAAGGAGUGGUCGGUGGAGCGUGAGAGUAGUUAGUUACUGUGAGCCAGACCCGUGGUUCCUGCUUUAGAACAAGAAGACAUGGCCGUCUCUCAGGCUGUUUGGCCUUCAUUCCGCCUGGGAGGAUGAUGGAUUAGGUCCCUGAACAGAGCGGCUUUGGGGCUUCUGGAUAAUCCUAGGCUGCUCUGUGGCUGCUGGAGGUGAAAGGGUCUUGCCAGUCAUAGUUUGCCUUCGUGCCAGAGUGGAGCAUUGUCCUCUCCAUCCUCAAGGUCCCUGAUAUCGACUGGAAUUGGCCACGGACUUUAUCUUCCCUGCUCUUGCAGCUUCCUUUAUUACGACUCACUACUCCGAGGAUGGAGUGGAUUCCACCGUGCUGAAGUCCAGUGGGUGUCAUGAAUAUUUGCUGAGUGUUGCUGUCGCAGAGAGAGGGGAGUUGGUUGUGACUACCCAGCCACCAGCAUUUUGUGGGUUUCUGGCAGGGCUAACCCCAGGGGCCUGUGACGUCAGAACUCCAUCCCCAGUGCCGUGCCAAGGUGAGUCUGCUUCCGCCAGGAGUUAUUACCAAAUGGAACCUGAGGGAGGAAGGCCAGGUAUUUCCUGAACGUCAUGGACCACGAGGCCCAGCUUUCAGCCUCAUGUCAGGAGUUCCCCGCUCAGCGUGCUCCUGGUGAUACUGCAGCCCGAAUUGGGGACCGGC